UACAAAUUCAAUAGAAAUACUGUCUUAUUAGUAUUCUUUAUAUAAAGAAUAUUAAUGAGGACACGACUACAAUAGAUAUACUGCCUUAUUAGUAUUCUUUAUAUAAAGAAUACUAAUUAGGAGUGUUUUAUCAGGUUUAAAGCCACUGCACGUGACAUAUUAUGGUUGACAUGAUUUGCCAAUAAGCUUAUGAAUUAUUAAUGAGUGUUUGAAACGGUUUUCAUGCGGCAAACAAACAUAAAAAGUAUGUUUAGUGCUUUAUCUGUAAAAUUAUGCUAUAAAAUGUUGAGAUUUUAGAAGGUAUACUCCAAGGGGAAAAUGAUGUCUGAGUUUCAGCAAAUUUUGCUUAUAUUGCUG
rnacentral:lncRNA from 1 species